GACGAACGCUGGCGGCGCGCUUAACACAUGCAAGUCGAACGGAAAGGCCUGCUUUCCCUUGUGGAUUGCGGGUACUCGAGUGGCGAACGGGUGAGUAACACGUGAGUGAUCUGCCCCCAACUUGGGUAUAAGCCUGGGAAACUGGGUCUAAUUCCCGAUAGGACUGCAGGGUGGUGCCUGUGGUGGAAAACGAUUUUCUAGUGGUUGGUGAUGAGCUCGCGGCCUAUCAGCUUGUUGGUGGGGUAAUGGCCUACCAAGGCGGCGACGGGUAGCCGGCCUGAGAGGGUGGACGGCGACAUUGGGACUGAGAUCAGGCCCAGACUCCUACGGGCGGCAGGAGUGGGGAAUAUUGCACAAUGGGCGGAAGCCUGAUGCAGCGACGCCGCGUGGGGGAUGACGGCCUUCGGGUUGUAAACUCCUUUCGACCGCGAGGAAGCCACCUGGUUGGAAGGGUGGUGACGGUAGUGGUAGAAGAAGCACCGGCUAACUACGUG
rnacentral:rRNA from 1 species